ACCUGGUUGAUCCUGCCAGUAGUCAUAUGCUUGUCUCAAAGCUUAAGCCAUGCAAGUGUAAGUUCACGCCACGCAUUAGAACGGGCGAAACCGCGAAUGGCUCAGGAACCGGACCUAAUCCUCGGGACCGUAAUCCUCCUCGGAGGCGAUGGAUAACUGUGGCAAUUCUAGAGCUAAUACAUGUGACACAGGCCGCGAUCGGUCGACGCGCCGUGGUCGCCUCGCCUUCUUGCGCGCUGGCACCCGCGUCGGCCGUCUUGGGUCGCGGCGCYACAUAUUAGACUGAGACCGAUGCGCGAUUUCCGGCCUCUCGUUGCGGGUUAACGCUCGCUUCGGGGCUAAAGGUCGGCGCGCUCCGCUUUGGUGACUCUGGAUAACUCACUGGUCGAUCGCACGGGCUUCCACGCCCGGCGACGGGUCCCCCGAGGGUCCGCCCUAUCAACUGUCGACGGUCGGUUAAGUGCCUACCGUGGUUACUACGGGUAACGGGGAAUCGGGGUUCGAUUCCGGAGAGGGAGCAUGCGAAACGGCUACCACAUCCAAGGAAGGCAGCAGGCGCGCAAAUUACCCACUCCCGGCACGGGGAGGUAGUGACGAAAAAUAACGACGCGGGACUCUGUCGAGGCCCCGCGAUCGGAAUGAGUACACUUCAAAUCCGUUAACGAGGACCAACCGGAGGGCAAGUCUGGUGCCAGCAGCCGCGGUAAUUCCAGCUCCGGUAGCGUAUAUUAAAGUUGUUGCGGUUAAAAAGCUCGUAGUCCGAACUCGGGUUCGUGGUCGCUCACGCGGCCCCGGGGCGUCGGCGCCAUCGUCCAUCGUUGACUUUGGUCGUUCGUUCGCAUUCCCGGCCCUUUCCGCCGGUGUCAAUCGCUAUAUAGACGGCCGCGGGUCAGCUGGCGCAUUGGCGUGUCGCGCCGGUCGCAACUUUUAACUUCUCGUUCCGGCCGGGUUGCGGCGUGUYGUGUGGGAAGGGCUUUCGGGUCCGACUCUGCGCGCGUCGUUCCUGGAUAUCGGGCGGGUUGUUGGUUCGCCGGUCGUGUCCGGGUCCUCACGGGCUCCCUUUCGCUAUGCCCCCGUGUUUGCCGUCGGUGAUUUCUCCUCCAAGGGUGCUCUUAACCGAGUGUCCGCGGCGGCCGGUACGUUCACUUUGAAAAAAUUAGAGUGCUCAGAGCGGGCUGUUCAAGCUUGCAUACGAUAAGCAUGGAAUGAUGGAAGAGGGCCUCGUCUACGUCUGUCGGUCUCCGUCUACGGCGAGGCAAUGAUCGAAGGGAGCGGUCGGGGCCACUCGUAUUGCGACGUUAGAGGUGAAAUUCUUGGAUCGUCGCAAGACGAACUGCAGCGAUGGCGUGUGGCAAGCACGUUUUCCUCGAUCAAGAGCGAAAGUCGGAGGUUCGAAGACGAUCAGAUACCGUCGUAGUUCCGACCGUAAACGAUGCCGACCGGCGAUCCGCCGGCGUUCGCUUCCAUGACCCGGCGGGUAGCCUGCGGGAAACCAGAGUUCGGUUCCGGGGGGAGUAUGGUUGCAAAGCUGAAACUUAAAGGAAUUGACGGAAGGGCACCACCAGGAGUGGAGCCUGCGGCUUAAUUUGACUCAACACGGGAAAACUCACCCGGUCCGGACACCGGUAGGAUUGACAGAUCGAUAGCUCUUUCUCGAUUCGGUGGGUGGUGGUGCAUGGCCGUUCUUAGUUGGUGGAGCGAUCCGUCUGGUUGAUUCCGAUAACGAACGAGACUCCGGCCUGCUAACUAGUGCGCCGAUGUGAGUGCGGCUCCUCGCGGGUCGUGUGCGGGCUCGGGGGCGAUUUUUGAUCGUCUCUCGUGUCCGGGUCGGUUUCUCACGCACUUCUUAGAGGGACGGGUGGCAGAAAGCCACACGAGGCGGAGCGAUAACAGGUCUGUGAUGCCCUUAGAUGUCCGGGGCCGCACGCGCGCUACACUGGAGGUAUCAGCGGGGACUUCGCCCCGGCCCGAGAGGGUCGGGAAACCUCUCAACCACCUCCCGUGAUAGGGAUCGGGGCCUGUAACCAACCCCGUGAACGAGGAAUUCCCGGUAGGCGCGGGUCAACAGCCCGCGUCGAUCACGUCCCUGCCCUUUGUACACACCGCCCGUCGCUACUACCGAUCGAACGGUCCGGUGAGGUCCUCGGAUCUGGCCGACGACGCCGCCGGGUGAGGCUUUCGGGUCCCGCCUCGGCGUUCGAUGCCUGGAGAAGACGACCGAACCCGAUCGUUUAGAGGAAGUAAAAGUCGUAACAAGGUUUCCGUAGGUGAACCUGCGGAAGGAUCAUUA
rnacentral:rRNA from 2 species